CUACGGGCGGCAGCAGUGAGGAAUAUUGCACAAUGGGGGGAACCCUGAUGCAGCAACGCCGCGUGGAGGAUGACGCAUUUCGGUGUGUAAACUCCUUUUAUAUGUCAAGAAAAUGACGGUAGCAUAUGAAUAAGCACCGGCUAACUCCGUGCCAGCAGCCGCGGUAAUACGGAGGGUGCAAGCGUUACUCGGAAUCACUGGGCGUAAAGGACGCGUAGGCGGGCUUGUAAGUCAGGUGUGAAAUCCUACGGCUUAACUGUAGAACUGCACUUGAAACUACGAGCCUAGAGUAUGGGAGGGGCAGAUGGAAUUAGUGGUGUAGGGGUAAAAUCCGUAGAUAUCACUAGGAAUACCUAAAGCGAAGGCGAUCUGCUGGAACAUAACUGACGCUAAGGCGUGAAAGCGUGGGGAGCAAACAGGAUUAGAUACCCCCGUAGUC
rnacentral:rRNA from 1 species